rnacentral:rRNA from 1 species
GUGUCAGCAGCCGCGGUAAUACCGGCAGCACGAGUGAUGACCGCUAUUAUUGGGCCUAAAGCGUCCGUAGCUGGCUGAACAAGUCCGUUGGGAAAUCUGUCCGCUUAACGGGCAGGCGUCCAGCGGAAACUGUUCAGCUUGGGACCGGAAGACCUGAGGGGUACGUCUGGGGUAGGAGUGAAAUCCUGUAAUCCUGGACGGACCGCCGGUGGCGAAAGCGCCUCAGGAGAACGGAUCCGACAGUGAGGGACGAAAGCUAGGGUCUCGAACCGGAUUAGAUACCCGCGUAGUCC